rnacentral:rRNA from 1 species
UACGAAGGGUGCAAGCGUUACUCGGAAUUACUGGGCGUAAAGCGUGCGUAGGUGGUUCGUUAAGUCUGAUGUGAAAGCCCUGGGCUCAACCUGGGAAUUGCAUUGGAUACUGGCGGGCUAGAGUACGGUAGAGGGUGGCGGAAUUCCUGGUGUAGCAGUGAAAUGCGUAGAUAUCAGGAGGAACAUCCGUGGCGAAGGCGGCCACCUGGACCAGUACUGACACUGAGACACGAAAGCGUGGGGAGCAAACAGG